UACGUAGGGUGCAAGCGUUGUCCGGAAUUAUUGGGCGUAAAGAGCUCGUAGGCGGUUUGUCGCGUCUGCUGUGAAAACUCAGGGCUUAACCCUGAGCCUGCAGUGGGUACGGGCAGACUAGAGUGUGGUAGGGGAGAUCGGAAUUCCUGGUGUAGCGGUGGAAUGCGCAGAUAUCAGGAGGAACACCGGUGGCGAAGGCGGGUCUCUGGGCCGAUAUUGACGCUGAGGAGCGAAAGCGUGGGGAGCAAACAGG
rnacentral:rRNA from 1 species